GUUCUCGUUAGAUCACCGAAGUUAAGCAUCAUUGGGCGCGGUCAGUACUUGGUGGGUGACCACCUGGGAACACUGCGUGCCGUU